rnacentral:lncRNA from 1 species
GUGGGGCAGGACAGGCCUGGGAAGAUAAGGAGCACAGGGUUGAGAAGAGAGAACGGAAGCUCCAAUCCUCCAUUUUAUAAAAUAAGGUUCGUCAUUGCACAUCUCCAAGUUCAAAAUGAAGGUCAGACUGGAAAGGUGAGAAACAUAAGAGUUCUACAGCACAUACUCCAAAAAACCCCCAAGGUUAUAGCUCUGAGCUCUCCUCCUGAGUAUCAUUCUGAUCCACAGCUUGCAGAGAUGUCAGCUUUGUAGUACAAGCAGGAAGAGACAGCAUAGCAACAAAAACACAACAGCGUCUGAGUAAUGGUUCUAAUGAAGAAGAGGGCAACAAGAAGACUUCAGCUACUGGCAACAGAAGAGGAAAACAGUGCAGUCAAGGAGCUUCUUAGCUCUGAGAAUUUGAACUUUCUUUUUUUCUGAAUGAACUGAAACUUCUAAACCCCUAUUGAAGCCUAUCAGUAUGUCAUAAGUUACUAAAAAUAAGUCAGUCAUCGAAACCUAUAAUAAAUGAAAUGUUUUCACUAAGGAUAUUAUAUGU